ensembl:lncRNA novel transcript
AGGACUUGAGCUGUCUCUGCUGCCUCUCCAGGGGCCACCUGGCCUCAGGACCCCAGGCAAGCACCGUGGGUUGGGAACCAACCUGGUGGAAAACUAAAAUCAGCCCAUCUUCAGGUCUACCGCGGCGGAUGAAGCCUCACGCAGAACAGAUACAGUUGCUUGGCAAGCAGGGGGCUGCAGUUUCUCAACUUUGCCCUUUGGUGCUUGUAAGUGGACAUAUCUGCAGAGAAGAAAGGAGACAUUUUCAAAGAAUUGCUCUUACUGCCUCCUCCUUGUCCUGUGGCUCUCAGCUCAAAUGGCACCUCCUCCAAGAAGCCUUCCCUGAUUUUCUACCCUUCUCUGUGCUCCCAGUUUCCUGGACUGCCCGUGCCACAGACGUGCUGGCACUGUCUGUUGACAUGGCUUGCUCUCUACUUCCCCACUGGACUGGGCACUCUGCAAGGGCAAAGACUGUGUUUGGCCCCUCUUUGUGGCUGCAGCUGUGCCUUGCACAGGUUCAGGCACAGUACGGGUGUUCACUAAUGUUUGCUGAAUGAAUCAAUGAACAAAUAUUCCCUUCCAGUUCUGCUCCACCUCUGGACUCCUGCCCCACAGGGGAGAAACCCUUUUUGAAAGCACCUGUGACAUAGUUCAAGAUCACCAAUGUCGGGCGAGGGUAGGACAUGCACCCUGGAGUCCAGCCAUACCUCAGCACAGCCCUCCUGCCCACAUCGCCAAGGCCCUGUCAGAGGCAUGACAAACAGCUUGGCUGAUGGCUUAUAAUGUCAAAGAUGAUGGAAACAGGGAGGCGACGGCUGAAAGAAUGGGUUGGGGACGCUUGUCAUAACUUUAUUUGUGGGAGACACACUGUCUACCUUGAUUCUCCAAACUGCCCUAAAAAGAACAUACAUUUUUACAGAGGAGGAAACCGAAGCUUGAAGAGGAGAAAUGACAUAUCCAAGUGCCCCAUGAAGGAGGACAAAAGCCCAGGAGGCAGCUGUCGCAUCAUCCUCUUCCUUUCCCUGCACAUCCGCUACAUCCCUUGGUCCUACUGAUUUCACCUGCCGUUUCCUCUAUGUCCAACGUUACUCAGUCCAAGUCCCCAAGCAUUUCCUGCCUCGACAGUUAUUCUACCCCAUCCUCCCCUGCUGCUCUCAAACUCCUCCUUCUUUUUUUUUUUUGAGACAGACUCUUGAUGCCCAGGCUGGAGUGCAAUGGCGUGAUCUCAGCUCACUGCAACCUCCGCCUCCCAGGUUCAAGUGGUUCUCUUGCCUCAGCCUCCCAAGUAGCUGGGAUUACAGCGUGCGCCACCACACCCAGCUAAUUUUUGUAUAUUUAGUAGAGAUAAAGGGUUUCACCAUAUUGGCCAGGCUGGUCUUCAACUCUUGACCUCAGGUGAUGUGCCCGCCUUGGCCUCCCAAAGUGCUGGGAUUACAGGCUUGAGCCACUGCGCCAGCAAACUCAUUCUUCUUCUUACAGACUCUCUUAUUUGAGUUCACCUAAAAGCCUGAGAUAAGGAAUUGGAUGUACAGAAUUUAUUUGCAUGGCCAUCCCAGGAAACACUUGGAAGUAGGGGAGUGGGAAAGGAAGACAGGGAGGGGUAGGCAGCCAGGAAAAGGGUUAUCGAGCAGGUUACACUGUGGAUAACGGGGGCUUGAUUCCACCAGACCUCUGGGAGCCCAUGAAUAACACCUCGGAGUUCUCCUGCCUGCGGAGUUGGGGAGCAGGGUAUUUAUCUACUAGGUCCUAUGGGGGCAGGGGUGUUCAUUCUCAGGCACCUCUGACCUGCUUCACAGGCGGGAAGAGUGUGCUCCAGAGUUGUUAAAGAAAGUCUUUAGGUAAAGAGACACAGUGGGCUGGGCACAGUGGCUCACGCCUGUAAUCCCAACACUUUGGGAGGCCAAAGCAGGUGGAUCACCUGAGGUCAGGAGUUCAAGACCAGCCUGACCAACAUGGUGAAACCCCGUCUCUAUUAAAAAUACAAAAAUCAGCUGGGAGUGGUGGUGGGUGCCUGUAAUCCCAGCUCCUUGGGAGGCUAAGGCAGGAGAAUCACCUGAACCAGGGAGGCAGAGGUUGCAGUGAGCCGAGAUUGCGCCACUACACUCCAGCCUGGGUGACAGAGUAAGACUCUGUCUU